GGCUGCACCUUAGUGCCUAAUAGCAUCUGAUCUCAGGAGCUAAGCAGAGCUGUGCUUGGUUAGUACUUGGAUGGGAGACCAACCUGGAAGACCAGGGGCUGCUU
rnacentral:rRNA from 12 species